rnacentral:rRNA from 1 species
AACGCUGGCGGCGUGCCUAAUACAUGCAAGUCGAGCGAGCCGAACUAAUUGAUUACCUUCGGGUAUGAAGUUAGGGAAGCGAGCGGCGGAUGGGUGAGUAACACGUGGGUAACCUACCCUAUAGUCUGGGAUACCACUUGGAAACAGGUGCUAAUACCGGAUAAAAGGAGAGAUCACAUGAUUUCUUUUUGAAAGGCGGCGUAAGCUGUCGCUAAAGGAUGGACCCGCGGUGCAUUAGCUAGUUGGUAAGGUAACGGCUUACCAAGGCAACGAUGCAUAGCCGAGUUGAGAGACUGAUCGGCCACAUUGGGACUGAGACACGGCCCAAACUCCUACGGGAGGCAGCAGUAGGGAAUCUUCCACAAUGGACGCAAGUCUGAUGGAGCAACGCCGCGUGAGUGAAGAAGGUUUUCGGAUCGUAAAGCUCUGUUGUUGGUGAAGAAAGAUAGUGAGAGUAACUGCUCAUUAUUUGCCGGCUAAUCAAACCAGAAAGUCACGGCUAACUA